rnacentral:rRNA from 1 species
GACGAACGCUGGCGGCGUGCUUAACACAUGCAAGUCGAACGGAAAGGCCCUGCUUUUGUGGGGUGCUCGAGUGGCGAACGGGUGAGUAACACGUGAGUAACCUGCCCUUGACUUUGGGAUAACUUCAGGAAACUGGGGCUAAUACCGGAUAGGAGCUCCUGCUGCAUGGUGGGGGUUGGAAAGUUUCGGCGGUUGGGGAUGGACUCGCGGCUUAUCAGCUUGUUGGUGGGGUAGUGGCUUACCAAGGCUUUGACGGGUAGCCGGCCUGAGAGGGUGACCGGCCACAUUGGGACUGAGAUACGGCCCAGACUCCUACGGGAGGCAGCAGUGGGGAAUAUUGCACAAUGGGCGGAAGCCCGAUGCAGCAACGCCGCGUGCGGGAUGACGGCCUUCGGGUUGUAAACCGCUUUCGCCUGUGACGAAGCGUGGGUGACGGUAAUGGGUAAAGAAGCACCGGCUAACUACGUG